AUCACAACAUUGCCUCACAGUUACAUAAGUUCUGUCUGAAUUUUUUCUCAUUUGUAGCAAAGUCUCUUUGGAGGAUUCUCUCAGAACAAGACUGAAGUAGGCUGUAGCAUUUCUAGUGAGUGUUUACAUACACUUCUCCAGAAAACAAGCAAACAUGGAAAUGAUUAAAGAAGAUGGCUCAAAUUCUGCCCUUCAAGCAGCCAAGGGGUAGGGGGAAUAAAUCCUCAAUGAAGACAAGGGAUGCUUAAGAUGAGGAAUCUCAGUCUGCAGGAUGAACCAAGAGGCUGGAUACCCUGGCUGAAGUGUGCCAGGGCUCAGAGGAGCACAGCAGCUUGCCAGAUCCUCCCUGGAUUGGGGCAUAUCAGCCUGAUACAAAUCAGAGGGACUGCCAUCUGCACUUAUCAAGACAGUUGUGGACUUUCUUUGAAGCUGGGAGAUGGCCCAGGUGCAUGUUUUGUAGCAGGUGGGUGAGAUCUCUGGAACUGUGACAGAGCGUACAAAUUACUACAAGGUAAUCCAUAACGUAUUUUCACAUUAUUUUAAGAAAGCAUUUGAAAAUUCCAUGUGUGGUUCUGAGCUGUUACGGAUUCAAUUGCUGUUAUGGAUUAUUGAA
rnacentral:lncRNA from 12 species